GUUAACACAACAACAUGUUGUAAUCUAUCAUUUCACUGUCAGAGACUCAGAGUCAGUUUUCUACCUGUGGACUCUGUAGAGAGAAGAAGAGUCAGGACAAACUUCUGUCCUCACAGGGACACAAGUAAAGCAGGAAGUGUGUGUUAUGUUGUGUCGUGUCGUGUCGUGUCGUGUUGUGUUGUGUCGUGUCGUGUCGUGUUGUGUUGUGAGUCGAUGGAGUCGGAUCCUGUCUGCGUGUCAUUUUAACUCUGGGUCCAGACUGUGAGCGUCUGGUGUUGAACUGAACUUGUUGACGAGUCGUUUCCAUGAUGUUUACAUGAGUCUGAUGAACGGGAUUCAAACCAACACCCAUUGACGUCAUGUACUGGUUAUCAGGAUCUGAUCAGAACACGAAGGGGUGGGGCCCAUGCCUCUCCUUAGCCCCACCCCUUCUUUACCCCUGUAGCGGAGACGUGUCCUGUGGGGUCGAGUGGGUGGAGCCGAGGGGCGGGGCUCUACCUGUCCAAACCGGUCCUGACAGAUAACUCACUUCAAACGGAGGGGGUACCCAGAAUGCCUUGCGAGUCACCGGCCACCUGGGAGAGAGAUCCGUUAAUACUGAAGAUGAGUGGUUCUGAGGAGGAAGAGGACAGAGCAGAGUCUCCAGGGUCCAGCUGUCUGUCUCUGAAGAGUGACUGGUCCAUGGGAAAUCCUCCAGUCUUCAGUAAUGAACCUGGACCCUCACACACAGAAGGUCAGGACCACAGACUGAGAGCAGAGUCUCCAGGGUUCAGCUGUGUGUCUCUGAAGAGUGACUGGUCCAAAUAUGAGCCUCCAAACUUCAGUAAAGAACCUGGACCCUCACACACAGAAGGUGAGGACCACAAACUGAGAGCAGAGUCUCCAGGGUCCAGCUGUCUGUCUCUGAAGAGUGACUGGUCCAUGGGAAAUCCUCCAGUCUUCAGUAAUGAACCUGGACCCUCACACACAGAAGGUGAGGACCACAGACUGAGAGCAGAGUCUCCAGGGUUCAGCUGUGUGUCUCUGAAGAGUGACUGGUCCAUGGGAAAUCCUCCAGUCUUCAGUAAUGAACCUGGACCCUCACACACAGAGGAGAGGAGGAGGAGUCAUGUUUCUGAGGAGGAGCAGUCGUCCUACUGUGCUUCGUGUCAGGACGUCCUGAAGGAUCCAGUCUCCACCAGCUGUGGACACUGGUUCUGCAGACAGUGCAUCACCUCAUACUGGGACCAGUCUGGUUCUUCAGGAGACUCCUCCUGUCCCCAGUGUGGACAAAGAUCCAGAACAGGAGCUGGAGGUCAGACAGCCGAUCGUGGUCUGCAGGAGGUUUCAGAUGAACAUAAGCUCAGUGUGAGGAGGAGAUGUGAACAUGUGACUGAAGGAAGUGAUGAAACAGGAAGUAGAACCCUCCUCAACAGGAUCUACACUGAGCUCUACACCACAGAGGGACAGAGUGAAGAGGUUAAUACUCAACAUGAGGUGAGGCAGCUUGAGACGGCUUCCAAGAAGAAGAUCCUCCAGGACACUCCCAUCAAGGUCCACGACAUCUUUAAAGCCUCCACUGACCAGCAGAGCAGCAUCAGAGUCGUCCUGACCAACGGCGUCGCUGGCGUUGGAAAAACCUUCUCGGUGCAGAAGUUCGCUCUGGACUGGGCAGAGGGUUUAGAGAACCAGGAUGUGGGUCUGCUGGCUGUGCUUUCGUUCAGGGAGCUGAACCUGGUGAAGGACCAGCAGCACAGUCUUCUCACGCUGCUCCAUGUUUUCCAUCCAGCGUUACAGAAGCUCACUGCAGAGACGCUCGCUGUCUGUAAACCUUUGUUCAUCUUUGACGGCCUGGAUGAAAGCAGACCUUCUCUGGACUUCAACCACAGGGAGCUUGUGUCUGAGGUCACACAGAGGUCAUCAGUCAACGUGCUGCUGACAAACCUCAUCCGGGGGAAUCUGCUUCCCUCGGCUCUCGUCUGGAUAACCUCCAGACCUGCGGCGGCCAAUCAGAUCCCUACUGCAUGUGUUGACAGGGUCACAGAAGUACAAGGCUUCACUGAGGCCCAGAAGGAGGAGUACUUCAGGAGGAGAUUCAGUGAUGAAGAGCUGUGCAGCAGAAUCAUCUCACACAUCAAGACGUCCAGGAGCCUCCACAUCAUGUGUCAAAUCCCAGUCUUCUGCUGGAUCAGUGCUACAGUUCUGGAGCACAUGUUGACCACAGACCAGAGAGGAGAGCUGCCCAAGACCCUGACUGACCUGUACUCACACUUCCUGCUGGUUCAGACAAAGAGGAAGAACAACAAGUACGGUGAGGGACAUGAGACGAGUCCACAGCAGCGGACGGAGGCUGACAGGGACGUUCUCCUGAAGCUGGGGAGGCUGGCACUUAAACAUCUGGAGGAAGGAAACAUCAUGUUCUACCAAGAAGACCUGGAGCAGUGUGGUCUUAAUGUCACAGAGGCCUCGGUGUACUCAGGGGUCUGUACUGAGAUCUUCAGAAGAGAGUGUGUGAUCUUCCAGAAAUCAGUCUACUGCUUUGUUCAUCUGAGCGUUCAGGAGUUUCUGGCUGCAGUCUACAUGUUCCACUGUUACACCGAGAGGAACACAGAAGAACUCAACAACUUCUUGGGAACAUAUGGGGACACAGACAAUACCUCCUCCCUGGAUGACCUCCUGAAGAGAACCAUGGAGAAAUCCCUCAGCAGUACAAAUGGUCAUCUGGACCUGUUUGUUCGCUUCCUUCACGGCCUCAGUCUGGAGUCCAACCAGAGAGUCUUAGGAGGCCUGCUGGGUCGGACAGAGAACAAUCCAAAGAUCAUCAAGAGAACCUUAGGAGACCUGCUGGGUCGGACAGGGAACAAUCCAAAGAUCAUCAAGAGAGUCUUAGGAGGCCUGCUGGGUCGGACAGGAAACAAUCCAAAGAUCAUCCAGAGAGUCAUCAACAACCUGAAGGAGAUGAAGAGUGAUGACAGUUCUCCUGACAGAAGCAUCAACAUCUUCCACUGUCUGACUGAGAUGAACGACCACUCAGUUCAUCAGCAGAUGAAACAGUUCCUGACGUCAGAGAACAAAUCAAAGGAGAAACUCUCUGAGAUCCACUGCUCAGCUCUGGCCUACAUGCUGCAGAUGUCAGAGGAGGUUCUGGAUGAGUUGGACCUGAAGAAGUUCAAGACAUCAGACCAGGGUCGACGGAGACUCAUCCCAGCUGUGAGGAACUGCAGGAAGGCUAAACUCAGUGGUUGUGAACUCUCAGAGACUCACUGGGAAGUCGUGGCCUCAGCUCUGAAGUCAGACCCCUCACAUCUGAGAGAACUGGAUCUGAGUAAGAACGAGCUGCUGGAUUCAGGAGUGAAGCUGCUGUGUUCUGGACUGGAGAGUCCAAACUGUCGACUGGAGACUCUGAGGUUGAAGAACUGCAGUCUGUCAGAGAUCAGCUGUUCUUCUCUGGCUUCAGCUCUGAGGUCAAACCCCUCUCAUCUGAGAGAACUGGAUCUGAGUGACAACAACGACCUGCAGGACUCAGGAGUGAAGGAGCUGUGUGGUUUUCUACAGAGUCCAACCUGUCGACUGGAGAAUCUGAGGUUGAAGGACUGCAGUCUGUCAGAGAUCAGCUGUUCUUCUCUGGCUUCAGCUCUGAGGUCAAACCCCUCUCAUCUGAGAGUACUGGAUCUGAGUGACAACUACCUGCAGGACUCAGGAGUGAAGGAGCUGUGUGGUUUUCUACAGAGUCCAACCUGUCGACUGGAGACUCUGAGGUUGAGGAACUGCAGUCUGUCAAAGAGCAGCUGUUCUUCUCUGGCUUCAGCUCUGAGGUCAAACCCCUCUCAUCUGAAAGAACUGGAUCUGACUAAAAACAGGCUGCAGGACUCAGGAGUGAAGGAGCUGUGUGGUUUUCUACAGAGUCCAACCUGUCAACUGGAGACUCUGAGGUUGAGUCGCUGCAGACUGUCAGAGAUCAGCUGUUCUUCUCUGGCUUCAGCUCUGAGGUCAAACCCCUUUCAUCUGAGAGAACUGGAUCUGAGUCUAAACAACAACCUGAAGGACUCAGCAGUGAAGGAGCUUCUUGAUCUACAGCAGAGUUCAACCUGUCGACUGGAGACUCUGAGGAAGUGAAGCUGGACCACAGCUGACAGCCUCACACGAGGGACAGAGACGGUGUCGUCUUCAUCUGAUCUGAGACAGUUUGUCCUCUCACUUCAUCAGUGAAGAACUGAUCAGGUGGAUCUUUGUCACAGCUCUGAGAUCAGUGGGACUGAAGCCUCUCCUCAUCACAUGGUGGUGGGGGAGAUCUUCGACGAGCAGAGUGUGAAGAGGACAGUGUGUGUGGACGGAGGCUGAGAUGUGUCCUGAGGAUCCAUACAAAUGUCAAACUAAUAAUUUAUUAGCACUUAAACAUCUUUUUUUUGAAGAAAUUGUACUUUAUGAUUCUUGUUGUUCUGGGUUUGAUCCCUCAUGGUUAAUGCACUUAUUGUAAGUUGCUUUGGAUAAAGGCGUCAGGUAAAUGAAAUGUAAUGUAAAGGCAGAGUGGAGACAGAGCUCCAGAGGAAUCAGAGGAGGUGGUUGUAAUAUGUAACUUUACCACUAGAUGGCCCUCCACACCGAUUGUGUUUAUUCAUGUGUGUAGAACCACAUUCUGUGUAUAUGUUUGUUUAUGAUCUUAAAGUUCCUGGAUUCACGUCACAAAUUGAUUUAGUUCAACACAAAGUUCAACACAAUCAAAUCCCUUUGAGUUUAAAAUCAGAGUUUUGUCUUUGACACAAAAGAUCAAAACUCUGGACUUAAAAAUGGGACGUUUUCAUUUCUGCAUCAGGUGCAGAGCGGUGGUGGCUUUUCUACUUUUGACCCACAGGUGGCGCUGCAGUAUAACAGCAGCACAUCCCAGUCAAAGCCUUUAUAUUCAGUCUAUGAGUCAAACACAUGGAUCAUUUCCUCUGUGACAAACCAGAUGUAACGAGAAGAAAAACAUCUCAGAGAGAAAAGUUCUGUUUCUACUUGUCUCUGCUUUAAUGCUCAAUAAACAUCCUUCCACCGAC